UAGGGAAUCUUCGGCAAUGGGGGGAACCCUGACCGAGCAACGCCGCGUGAGUGAAGAAGGUUUUCGGAUCGUAAAGCUCUGUUGUUAAGGAAGAACGAGUGUGAGAAUGGAAAGUUCAUACUGUGACGGUACUUAACCAGAAAGGGACGGCUGACUACGUGCCAGCAGCCGCGGUAAUACGUAGGUCCCGAGCGUUGUCCGGAUUUAUUGGGCGUAAAGCGAGCGCAGGCGGUUAGAAAAGUCUGAAGUGAAAGGCAGUGGCUCAACCAUUGUAGGCUUUGGAAACUGUUUAACUUGAGUGCAGAAGGGGAGAGUGGAAUUCCAUGUGUAGCGGUGAAAUGCGUAGAUAUAUGGAGGAACACCGGUGGCGAAAGCGGCUCUCUGGUCUGUAACUGACGCUGAGGCUCGAAAGCGUGGGGAGCGAACAGG
rnacentral:rRNA from 1 species